rnacentral:rRNA from 1 species
AGAGUUUGAUCCUGGCUCAGAUUGAACGCUGGCGGCAUGCCUUACACAUGCAAGUCGAACGGCAGCACGGGAGCAAUCCUGGUGGCGAGUGGCGAACGGGUGAGUAAUAUAUCGGAACGUGCCCAGUCGUGGGGGAUAACGCAGCGAAAGCUGUGCUAAUACCGCAUACGAUCUCUGGAUGAAAGCGGGGGACUCAGCAAUGAGCCUCGCGCGAUUGGAGCGGCCGAUAUCAGAUUAGCUAGUUGGUGGGGUAAAAGCCCACCAAGGCGACGAUCUGUAGCUGGUCUGAGUGGACGACCAGCCACACUGGAACUGAGACACGGUCCAGACUCCUACGGGAGGCAGCAGUGGGGAAUUUUGGACAAUGGGCGCAAGCCUGAUCCAGCAAUGCCGCGUGCAGGAUGAAGGCCUUCGGGUUGUAAACUGCUUUUGUACGGAACGAAACGGUCUGCCCUAAUACGGUGGGCUAAUGACGGUACCGUAAAAAUAAGCACCGGCUAACUACGUGCCAGCAGCCGCGGUAAUACGUAGGGUGCGAGCGUUAAUCGGAAUCACUGGGCGUAAAGCGUGCGCAGGCGGUUAUAUAAGGCAGAUGUGAAAUCCCCGGGCUCAACCUGGGACCUGCAUUUGUGACUGUAUAGCUAGAGUACGGUAGAGGGGGAUGGAAUUCCGCGUGUAGCAGUGAAAUGCGUAGAUAUGCGGAGGAACACCGAUGGCGAAGGCAAUCCCCUGGACCUGUACUGACGCUCAUGCACGAAAGCGUGGGGAGCAAACAGGAUUAGAUACCCUGGUAGUCCACGCCCUAAACGAUGUCAACUGGUUGUUGGGUCUUCACUGACUCAGUAACGAAGCUAACGCGUGAAGUUGACCGCCUGGGGAGUACGGCCGCAGGUUGAACUCAAGGAUUGACGG